GGGCAUGUAGCUCAGUUGGUAGAGUGCUUGCCUGGUGUGCACAAGGCCCUGGGAUCAAUCCCAGCAGCACCA
rnacentral:tRNA from 1 species